AUCAGUGUGCUAAUGAAGCUAACUAGAAGGGAGGAUUGAACCAAGUAAAUGAGCCUUUUCCUUCACACUGGGUUGUGAGCCAGAGGAAUUUGGAAGCCUGAAAUCCAAAGUCUAGUUUAGUGUAGCUUUGACUUUUGUUCUCUCUGUGGCAGUCAGGGUUCCAUCACCUGUUAUAAUGGCGCUGAAGUGUUGGCCAGCCAGUUGUCGGUUCUGAAAGAAGUCAGCAGUGGGACGGUGGGGCCUUUGGGAGGUGCUUUGAUCACAAAAGGGAGUAAGAUCCUUAUAGAAGAGGCCCCAGAGAGCUCCGUCACCCCUCCACCAUGUGGGGACACAGUGAGACAGAAGAUGGAUAGCAGUGAAUCAGGAAGAGGGCCCUCAUCAGACCCAGAAUCUGCCUGUGCCGGGAUCUUGGACUCAGCCUCCAGCACUAGCAUUGUGAGGGACAGCUGAUGACAGGUAUGAUCAGACUUCCACGUUCACCUGCAGUCUGGAGGGGACACGAGGGAAACGCAGAGCCAUUAGGAAGAAACGUGGCUGCCACACCUCCUGGUUUAGGGAAAACUAUGGCAGCAAACUGUGACAAUUAAAAGAAGAAGAAGAAGAAAAGAAGAAGAAGAAGAAGCAGCAGCAGCAGCAGCCGCCGCCGCCACCCAAAUCUGAGUGAGACCCAGGCUAGCUCAUUCAUUUGGAUUCAGUUCUAAUGAUGAUUACUUAUUUCCCCUGUUAGCAGCAUCACUGUAACUAAAGUUAGCCUUGGCUCAAAACUCAAUGUGUUAUUUAAGGGUCCAAAGUAGGCAGCGGGGUGUCUGAUGAUUGACAACAGGAUCUGCUGGAGCUCUGGCUGGCUCUGGGCCUGGCUCCCUUCUCUCUGGCUGCCUCCUGGGUGGCAGCAUGGGAGCAGCAGCCCGUGGCCCUGGUGGCGCGCAGCCCAUGCAGACGCAAAAAAGCUUUCAGGCAGUUUCCAUCCUCAGGCCAGGCCUUCCUUGAUGCAGUGAGGCAAUGCGAGCCCAUCUAUGCUUGCUGUUCUGAGCUAAAUUGAGUUUCCCCCUUUCACAUGUUGAAGUCUGAACUCCUAGCACCUCGGCAUGUGACCUUAUUUGUGCAUCCGGUGUGCCUGGAAUCCUUGUGAGAAGAGGAGGUUAGGACAUAGAUACACACAGGAAAGACGAUGUGGAGACACAGGAAGAAGAUGGGCAUCCAUAAGCCAAGGAGACAGGCCUGGGACCCAUCUCUCCCUCAUGGCCCUCAGAUAGAACCCACCCUGCUGACACCUUGACUUUGGACUUCAUUGUGACAGGCACAGACUUGUACUGACCUGCAUUCCUGGGCAUCAUGUUUGGUUACCCACUCACUCCCUACCCAUCCAUGGCCCUGCCCAUCUUCUCAAGUCCCUUCCAAGCUUGACCCUACUCCUUCCCAGGAUGGCACUCACAGGACUACACGUCACUCAUUCCAGUGACUCUUUGUGUUACUCAUGGGUUUUUGCCCUUUGUGGUAUCAUUAAUGUGAGGUGGUGGUGGUGGGGUCCCAUUAAUUGGGACAAGCUGGAGUGACACUCUAGCUGGGUCCUUGGUUCUUCCACUUCUGUGUCUUAUGGCCAAGAAAUCCCCAGGGUGGGACAACCCAGCAAUUCUAAAGCAAAGCUCUGCUACUAACCAUUACUGGCCCACCCCCACAUUACCUCUGACCUGGUCAGAGCUGCCCAACCUGAUCGAGCCCAUUUGGACCCACUGGACCCAUUUGUCCUUUGUUCCAGCCAGGAUCCUCAAGGCACAGUUGUCCUGCACAUGAAGGCCAAAGCCAAGGCUGAGGCAGGAUGGGGCCAGGCUGCUCUCUGCACCUGUGACCCACCCUGCAGUGGCUAACGGCACCCCAGCAGCCUAGCACACGGGGUUUCCUGCCUCUGCCUCUACUCCUGCAGGCCCCUUUUAUGCUGUGCCCUCCACCUCCCACCCCACAAGGGCUCCCUUUGCCUUCCUCCUUCCUUUGGGUCCUGGCUGUCUCCAUAGAUGUCACAGCAGAGGCCUCUAGUACCUGCCCAGCUGUGUGGGAACAGCUCUCUGCUGAUGCCCUGUGCCUGGUGCCAUCACAGGUGUGUGGGCUCUGCUGGGCCCUGCUCAGCUCAUCCAGGAGCACAGUCCCUUCUGCUGGGCGCCACCAUAGGUAGGGUGUGCUUCAUGCUCGGGUCACCGCUCAGCUGUGUGUGUUCCCAGCCCUUGAUGCCACAGACCCUUGAGGCCAGUGUCCUUAUUGCCUGUCACACCUGUGGUGACCCCUUCCCGAGGGCAUCCAUGGCACUAGGUCACUGGGGUUAGGGCUGCUCUUCUCCCUCAACUUGAGACAAGUGACCAGAGGAGGACACUUGAACAAGGAACCUAUUGGCAUCCGACCAGCCACCUGGGCCCCAGAGAAAGCCACUUGAAAGGGCUUGAGCUGGGCCAGUCAGGUUCCAGAAGUGGACACGGAACCAAGAAAACUAACAAUCCGUGGUGAGAAAGGGAUGGGGGAGGGGCUUCUGUGGUGCUGGCAGCCCACUUGGUGGGAGCGGAGGGGAAGCCAGCAGAGCACAGAGAGGGAGAGCAACCCUGUGGCCAGGGACCGCCUGCCUCAGGGAGGACCCCGCAGCCCAUCUGUCAACCCCUCCCAACCCCCCUCCACAGGGCCUGCAUGUGCUUGUAGGAAGGGCAACCUGGACCUUUCCCCAAGGUAGCCUUGGUUUUCUCCAAACCAGUAACCAGCUCAUCCUCAGGCCCAGGAGCAGCUGGGGGAGUCCGCACAGGGGCGUUUUCUGGGCCUCCUCCCAAGAUGGAGCCAGCUGUGUGCCAGGUUACAAGACUUAACAAAGGCAGGACUCUGAGCAAGGAGGCCAGUGACCAGCAGAAUUCCAGCUGGUAGCCCUAAAACUCCAUUUGGGGCUCAAAACCGCAUUCUGUGGCUUUCACAGUGUGAGCAACGCUACAGCUCUCGGGUUUGUAAGUUUCUAAACGUAGACUGUCACCUGUCCCAGCGCAGGCACGACCCUGACUGCAGGAGGCCCUGUAGAAGUCACAUCUUGCCUGGAAAGGAGGAGCUACUUCUGCUGAAGGGGCCCUGGUGACUUCUCUUGUUGAACCUUUUCCUUUUACAGAAGGGGAGACUGAGGCAGGAGAUGGAAGGACAGCGUUUUAGGCCACAGACUGUUGGCGGUACAACUGGCACCGGGUCUAGGCAUGUAGUGUUGGCACGCCCUCACCCCUUAUUUUUUGCUGAAUCAUGUUGCCUCUGGAGUGGGUUUGUGGAAAUGCUUCCAAAGCAGAACAGAAAAAUGAAUGGCCUGACUUUGGGGUGAGGGAGAGUUAAUAAAGUAAAAAGAAUUCUCAUUGAACACUCAUUAUUAAAGUUAGCCUGAGGCCAAGAGGGUGUGUGCAGCUGUUGUCACACAGGCUGCAGGCUUCCUGGCAGGAGGGACAGCCGGGUGAGGCCAGGACAGUUUUGCACCAUGUGGAGAGCACAGACAGGCCAGUGAGGAGGGGAGACAGCAGACUCCAGGGGCCUGGCAGCCUGGAGGGAUGGGUGAGGGGCUGCCUUGCUCACAGUGUGCCUUGGCUCGGCCCUCCCUGGACAGCCCCCGGCACUGCAUCCAGGAGGCUGUACCAGUCCUGUUUGAGAGGAGGCUUGCAGAGGUUAGGUGACUUGUCCAGGCUGCACAGCUUGUGGGUGGCAGAGCUGGAGUUUGACACUGGGUGCUGUGGCCCUAGGAUCUGUGCAUUCUCAGGGUCAGCCCAUGGUGCUGCUGCAGAAAGCCUGGUUUAGCAUCCAGGUUUUGCCACAUUUGGGCACUGCUUUGCUUCUCUGAGCCUCUUUCCUUGCCUGCCUGUCAGGUGGAGGUACUCCCACUAGUUUUGCAAAUGAUGUGUGGGAAUGCCAGGCACUGCCCAGAGUAUGGUAGGCCCACCCUUGAUGUAAUUUCAGAGGCUCUAGGCUGGGGCAGUGCAGUUACUGGGUUCCUUGGAGGUUUCUCAAAAGCACAGACUGUCCUAGAGAUCAAGUACUUCUACCCAAGGGACCUGUGCGGGUGCCUGCACCCAGCACUUUCCCCAGAAAAGAAGCCUGUUUUCCCCGAGGCUCUGUGGGCAGUUUGGAGAAAGGAACAGCCCCUUCUGGGAAGGAAGGAAGAGAGGGUGGUGGGAAGAGCAGCUGGGGCCUGAGCACAGAGGUCAGGUGAGGGGAGCAGAUGAUGCCGGGAAGAGCAUAUUGACUUCCUCCUUUUAAAAAUGGACUCAAGUGCAAUCAUUUAUAAUGUGCUCUCCCCACUGCUGAUAAUACCCAUUUCCAUCACUGUCGGGGAAAUGGAUUUGCAGCACUCUCAGAAAAAGAAAACACAUUGCUUGAGAUGUGCGAAGAGAGCUUGGUUCCAUUCCCAAUUCUUUCUGGAUAGCCUGCUGGUGGCUGUCUGGGGACAGAGGGCAGUGGGCUGUGCUGGCAGGGGCUGCUUCCAGGAGGAGGGCUGCAUUGAGAACUGUGGCCAUACCAUAUGGUCAGCCCAUGGUGGGCAGGGCCUCCGAGGGGGUAUGGAUGGAGCUUGGGGGUCAGGAAGCCACCUGGGAGAGGCAGCAUCUGAGCUGAGUCUCAGAAGCAGGAGUGGCCAUGCAGAGCAUUUUCUGUGGAGAGAUACCAUCCCCAAUGCCUAGGACAAGAGGCUCCUAGCAGGGAACCAGGGGAAGCCUCAUGUGCCGGGGACCCAAAGGGUGAAGGUGGGAAAUGGGGUGGCUGGCCAGGUGGGCAGGGAUGGUCCUUUCCUUGCUGCCACUCUUCAGGGGCUGCAGCAGUCCAGUGUGGAUCAGAACACCUUGGGAGACCAGAGUGGGUGUCUAUGUGUAGCCCUUGCUGAUCAACCCAACAUGCUAAUCCUGGGCCUGGAGCUGGUCAGAGGGAGACUGACUCGGGGGGUCACUCUUCUGUUUUCCCUAGGUUUGGCCUGAGGUGGUGGGGGCAGUAGUCAGACACCAGGCUUAGGCAGCCAUGGCCCCAGAGCCCAUCCCCUGCCUAGCCACUGUUUCUCCUGCCAGCAGGGGUCAGGAGAUGCCACAUCAAAGGAGUGUCUUGGUGUCCGUUAGUUCAUUCACUCAUUUAUUCAUUCAUCCUCCAGAAGGUCUGCCAGGUAAGCCCGUGGUGAGCUGGACUCCCAGCAUUAAGGAUGGCAUGUGGACAGAGACAGGCUUUGGAACCAGCCAGACCUACAAUCAAGUCAUACACACUAGCGAGUGACUUUAGAAAGCCAUCUGAGAUCUCUGAGCCUCAGUUUUCUCAACAGCAAGAUGGUAUUAACCUUGUUUAAUGGUUAUGGGUGACUCUAAAAGUCGCUGGCAAGUGCCAGGCCAUCAUCUGGCCACAAGGAGCUCCACAGGGUGUCCUCCAUUUCCCUAGACACAGUGGGAAGGCUGAGCCUCAGGGCCUUGGCACAUGCUAUGUCCUUGCCUGGAGCAAUCUUAUUUCCUGACGCCCUGGGGUCAGCUCCUAGAUUCCCUUCAGAUGCUUGCUUAGCUGUCACCUGCUCUCCUCGCUCUCUUCCUGGUCCUGUGCACAUUGCCGUCUGGUGUACUUAUGAACCUCAUGAGGGCUGGGGUUUGUUUGUUCCCUGGGUCUCCUCUAUACCUGGAACAGUGCCUGGAACAUCGCAAGGGGUGAAGGGACAUUGUGCAAGGGCACAAGCACGCUGCUUGCUACCCCCAGAGCCACAGAAACAAGGGCCCAGUGUCUUACUGGCAGGGGCUCUGCUAAUCUUUCUGAGCCUCAGUGAUGUGAGCACAGAAAGCACUGGGCUUUGAAUCAGACAGAGGUGGUUUGUCUGUGUGUGUGUGUGUGUGUGCGUGUGUGUGUGUGUGUGUGUGUUGGGGGAGGGGUGCAGUGUACUCUAGGUCUCAAAUGAAUGAGGCUCUAUCCCUUGGUCCGAGGGAAUAUAAGGCCUAAGUGAGGCAAACCCUCCAGGAUGACACCAAGCCCAGGCUCAGGCAGUGACUUUCCAGGAAGGGAUGCCCUGGGAACCUCAGAGGGGAGCUUGGUGGCAGCUCUGCUGGGGAGGGCUCCUCCUUCACCCCAGUUUAUGUCCAUGAGACCUGGGCUCCUUACCGAUGUUGUCCUGGGGAUCCUGAGAGCUGUUCUCCCCUGGACAUUACAGGGGACACACAGGUGAAAGAGGGCACCUCCCUUCUAAUGGAGGUGAGGUACAAAGGGACAGAAUCAGGACCCCGCCCCCACCCCCUCUGAGCACACUUAGCCCUCCCCUCGAUGAUGAGCAAUAUGGUUAAGAAUACAAAUAUCCUGGGAGAGGGGACCAAGCUGGUCUGAAUCUCGCCCCCGCUGACAUGCUCUGUGACUGUGAACUAAUGACUAGGCUCACUGAGCUUCAGUUUCUUCAUCUGUGCAAUGAGCCUGGUAACUGCACCUGCCUCAAGGGGCUCUUGGGUCAGGAGAGCACUGUUUGCAUGCAUUGUGCUCAUUAACUGUUACUUAUUCCUGUUAUUACCAUAGGGAUUCAAAUUCAUGGUACAGUUUAAAUGAGAGGUACUAGAGCUGUUCCUGAGGCCCUUUUGGGAGGGAGAGACCGUGAGAGGAGAUCAAGGCCAAGAAAGGAGGGCUGUGGCCCAGGCUACCUCCGUUCACCUUCUCAGGCACCCACUCUGUUUCCAUUCUUUGGGAGAGGAAGUUCCCAGAGUUAGCCUGACGGUAGACAGAGGUGGGGGAGUGCAGGGCGUUUUUCUUGGGGUUGCUGAGGCAAUGCCACAUUUGCCAGGUGUCCAUGGUGUGUGUCUGGUUCAAAGCUGGGGCUUCCAUCCCCUCCUCUCAGGUACCCAGGCCUCUGGUUUCUGGCUUCCCCCAGACUCCUGGGCAGGGCAUCCAGCAGCUCCAAGCUGGGCAGUGACCUGUUUCUGUUUCUUGGCUCAGAGAGCUGUAGUGAAGAUUCACUCCCAAGCUGGGCCGGAGGAGAGCAUGAAGGAGGGACUGCUGGUGCCUGUCCAUAGGACGGAGCCGCCACAGGGCCUGUGCUGAGCAGCACCACGCGUGUGCACACAUCUCCUGGAAGGAGCUGGGCCGGCCUUGGAGGGUGAGAAAGGUGGGCUGCAUGAGGGAGGUUGGGGAGAUGCAGUUGGGAAAUGUGGCUUCAAUGCUUGGGCCCUGUGGCCCAGCUCAUGGCUGCCUCUUCUUCCAUUGGACGGUGAAUUGGAGAGCCGACAACACGUAGAGAACUUUCCUGACUCAGUUCUGAGGCCCGGAGCCCCUCUGUACACAGGGGUGGUUGUUCCCAUUCCCCCAGGGGUCACUGGUGAGGGAAGCCAGUCUUGUUCCUGUAUCCUUGAAUCAUUCUAACAACCCUGUGUCACCCCUCACCCCCGCCUCUCCCAUCUUACAUGAGAAAGUGGGGGAGGUUGCUUGUGAGCGGUAGAUGAGGGCCACAGUCCCGGGCAUCCUGCACUUGGAGGCACCGCCAGUGCAGCUCCAGGCUCCAGCAGUGGCUGCAGCUUUUGGAAGGACUGUAUUUGGAUCUCUGUCCCACCUCUGCUCCCAGCUUAGGCCCCUACCCAAAUCCCCGGGCCUCUGCCUUGUGUAAAGAAAGGAGUGCCACAGAGAGCCAGACGUGGGCUCUGGGGAGCCAUUUCUAAUGGGAAAACAUGCCCAUUUGCCUAAAUGAAUCAAAUCCAUUUCUCUCCCAUACAUAUUUCAUGGGCUUCCUCUCUGUGUAAUUUAAUUAUCACUGUUGUUAGUGUUAAUGUCCUGGUUGGUGCAGCUCUGCUCCUCAGAUCCUUGGAGCCUGAUAGUACAGCUGGGCUCCGAGGAGGAGCCAGAGGAUGGAACCAUCUCUAUGGCAACAGGAUGCAAUAAUAUUUCCCAGUGAUCUAUUGCUUUAAUCUUGAGGGCUCUGAGUAUA